AGCGAACGCUAGCGGCAGACUUAACACAUGCAAGUCGAGCGAGAAACCACUUCGGUGGCGGAGAGCGGCGAACGGGUGAGUAACACGUAGGUUACGUGCCCUUUGGUGGGGGAUAGCCCAGGGAAACCUGGAUUAAUACCGCAUACGUCCUUCGGGAUGAAAGCCUUCGGGCGCCAGAGGAUCGGCCUGCGGCCCAUUAUUUAAUCCUGGAUGGUAAGGUAACGGCUUACCAUGGGUACGAUGGGUAGCUGGUCUGAGAGGAUGAUCAGCCACACUGGGACUGAGACACGGCCCAGGCUCCUACGGGAGGCAGCAGUGGGGAAUAUUGGACAAUGGGCGAAAGCCUGAUCCAGUCAUGCCGCGUGUGUGAUGAAGGCCUUCGGGUUGUAAAGCACUGUCGGGAGGGAAGAAAGCUUCGGCUUGACGGUACCUCGCAAGAAAGCACCGGCUAACUCCGUGCCAGCAGCCGCGGUAAUACGGAGGGUGCAAGCGUUGCUCGGAAUUACUGGGCGUAAAGCGUACGCAGGCGGCCAAUUAAGUUGGAUGUGAAAGCCCUGGGCUCAACCCGGGAAUUGCAUUCAAAACUGGUUGGCUUGAGUGUGAGAGAGGGAAGUGGAAUUCCAGGUGUAGAGGUGAAAUUCGUUGAUAUCUGGAGGAACACCGGCGGCGAAGGCGGCUUCCUGGCUCACAACUGACGCUCAUGUACGAAAGCGUGGGUAGCAAACAGGAUUAGAUACCCUGGUAGUCCACGCCGUAAACGAUGUUUGCUAGGUGUUGGUGGAAUUUACCCCAUCAGUGCCGCAGUUAACGCAUUAAGCAAACCGCCUGGGGAGUACGGUCGCAAGAUUAAAACUCAAAGGAAUUGACGGGGGCCCGCACAAGCGGUGGA
rnacentral:rRNA from 1 species